GACUUCCAUCGUGUUUAAUAUGUUUUGUUGAACUGGGAGAUGUGUCCCUCAUGGAUACCUUAUCCCUAGGCAUCACUAUUUGAACAGUACACUUAUCUUCGUUGUGAUAUUCAACAGAUUCUAACUUGUGUAUAGAAGUUGUUCCCUUGCUGUCAUGCUCAGAAGAUUCUAUUGAACAGAAAGCAGCAGCGACGUGAUCUGAUUUUGUACUUUCUGUUUCGGCAUCUGAGUCUGCAACCACUGUCUCAUCCGGUGGGGAUGUGAUAAGAA
rnacentral:misc_RNA from 1 species